GCUGCCACUUUGGCAGCAUGUAGACUUAAACUGGACCAUCGCAGAGAAGAGUAUCAUGGUCCCUGUGCAAGGAUGACAUGCAAAUUCAUGACACAUUCCAUAUUUUU